GCCAGCUGUACUUACUAAUUUGCAGGUGUCACACAUUGGUUCCUUUCCCUGUGAGGUGAAAGUUGUGGUGGCAAGGACCAAGUGGAAGCCCCUAGAACUGCUCAUCCCUGCCUCUGGCUAAGGCAGUAAACCAAGUAAUACUGCAUCCCUAAAGGAACUGCAGAGAUCAGUGCCACAAUCAGAGACUUGAAAGACGUAGAGGGGUGAUGUGACUGUUUUCACUCCCACCUUCCUAAUUUUCUCUGGCCUGGGUGUGGUAUGGGUGCUGUUCUUGUUCCUUAGGUACACCGUCAGACAAUUCUCCUUCCUUCCUCACAUCAUCAGUCUGUGCCACCCACCAUCUCUUAAUGCAGUCACCUCUUCAUCCAGUGGUAUUUGCCCACAUCCCCAUUGAGCUUACCUGUUUGGCUAAGGCAAAAUAUUAGUCUUGGAAAAUGACUGUAGAUUAUUGAAAUUUAAUCAGAUAGGGAUGUCAAUUUUGGGUGGUGUUGCCAGAACAAGUCAACACAACCCAUGGGACCUCAAAUGAAAUUGUUCACUUAGCAAAUGUUUCCUUUGUAAUUCCUAUCAGCAAAGAAACUCAGAAGCAGUAUAUCUUCAUAUGACAGAGACAGCAGUCACUGUUUUAUAGCUCUUGGGUUCUCUGUCACAAUGUAGUCAGAAGGGUCCUUGAUCCAUUACACUGAUAGCAUUCUGUUUUCUGGUGACCUUGGUGGUAAGAUACAUGCAUGCCAGAAGAUAGGAGAUAAAUGCUGUAAAAGUUCAGAGACUUGACAUAGGGAAUAAAUUAAUAUUCCCUCUAAAAUGAAAGAAGGGUUGCAUUGUUUUGCACCAAACACAAUAAAUAGAGCAGCAUAAUGCUUGAUGAGCUUCUAUGAAUUCUUGAAGGCAAAAUAACUAUGUCUGAUCUGUUGCUAUAAUUCACUUACUAGGUAGCUCCUAAGCCUGCCUGUUUGGAGGGGAGCCAUGUAUCUGUGAAAAUUCUGUCAGGAAAAUGGAGGCACUACAAAUGUAACAGGAACCCCUCGUAUAUAAAUGAGUGCAGUUGGUCAUCAGGUUGACUGAAAACAUUAAUCUUUUAGUCACAUGGAAGAGGUUGGGGCUUAAACUGGCUCAAGUUGGUCCUCUGUGCCCACCCUGGCUCCUCUCAAACCCUGAAGGAAACCUCCCUCCCAGAUAAUCAUCUUAUGCCUCAUAUUACUAUCUGAAAUGGACCAGAGAGAGAUGAGAAGCCUAAAAGGACAAGCUAAUGAACUAGCUUGGCAGUGAAUGGAGAAAAACAGAAGUGAAUACAGAAGUUUCAGAGUUUACGAGACAAUGAAUGUCGGCUUUUCCUGGGGAAGUAUUUACUAGCUCACUUCAUAAACCUGACAGCUGCAGGCAGGUGCAAUGCACAGCAGCAGCAGUAGCAGAAGUAGGUUUGCACUUCUGGGAACAGCUGGAAACUCUGGGAGGAGAUUCAGAUAAGUACUAUGGAAAUACAGACGGCAAGAAUCUGACAAGUUCUCAGUGGAAGGUACAUACACUUAGGUUUGAAUUUGAGGCAGAAUUUUUUGAGGUAAUGACAUUUUAUAAUAGUAGAUGGGGAAGUAAUCACCAGUGAACUCCAUCCCUGUCCAAAUCCUGCAGUGUAUCAGUAAUAGGUGUAAUAAAGACUGGACAGCCUUGGGGAGAAUUGGAUAUCAUGCAAAUAGAAGCAAUUUGAAAGUAGUAUUGCUUUUCCUUUGCAAAAGCAGUAUACGUCUAUUUUUUAAAAGCAAGAAAAUUUGUAUCUAUCAAGUGAAUGUCUCAUUUCCCAUCUUUCCCCGCAAUCCCUCUGCUAAAAGUUUGUCAUGUAUUUUUCUCUCAUUUUAGCAUAU